UACGGGGGGGGCAAGCGUUGUUCGGAAUUACUGGGCGUAAAGGGCUCGUAGGCGGCCAACUAAGUCCGACGUGAAAUCCCUCGGCUUAACCGGGGAACUGCGUCUGAUACUGGAUGGCUUGAGUGUGGGAGAGGGAUGCGGAAUUCCAGGUGUAGCGGUGAAAUGCGUAGAUAUCUGGAGGAACACCGGUGGCGAAGGCGGCAUCCUGGACCAUUACUGACGCUGAGGAGCGAAAGCCAGGGGAGCAAACGGG
rnacentral:rRNA from 1 species